ACUGGCCAGGGAGCCGCUACGCAGAUGUUUUCGCCUCUGCGGGUGUAGGCUCCGGGUCGGGCUUCCGGGUCCCUUUCCUGGCUCUGGCGCCUUCCAGCUGUGUGACCGGGCGAGGCCCUGAGCCUCUUGAGGGUUCAGUGCCCUCCUCCGUACAAUGGGCCAACAACAGCCCCUUCCCUGGGGAUCUCGGUGAGGGUUGGUUGCUCUGCAGGGUGCCCUGGGCCUGUGCCAGCGCGCUCAGGCAUCCUGGUGACCAACCACAGCUGGCACUGGUGAACGCAGCCUCUUAGCCCAGGCAGGCUCUGGUCAGCCUCACCUGCUGGGACCGCUGAGUGGUCCAAGAGCUGGCUUGGCUGACUGGGACCUGGGCCUCAGCUUCCCCAUCUGUGCAGGGGGCCGCUGGUGAUACCGGUCCCUGCCAUGCCCUGGUGGAGAUAUGGCCCAGUGAGACUUCGUGAGGGGUCUAGGCCACUGCUGUCACGUGGUACGUCUUCUACCCUGGCCCCUAGGUGGCCCUGGCCUCAGCCUUGCUCUAAAGAGGAAUGAAGCCCAGCCCACAGCCCCUUAGCACAGAUACGCUCGGGAGACGGGACCCUCACCGUUACUCAUCUCCUUACUGUUCCCUGGACACCUUGGGGUCCCUGCGCC
rnacentral:lncRNA from 10 species